rnacentral:sRNA from 1 species
GAUAUUGCUUUGAACAU